rnacentral:rRNA from 1 species
UAGAGUUUGAUCCUGGCUCAGGAUGAACGCUGGCGGCGUGCCUAAUACAUGCAAGUCGAACGCGCGGAUCAGGAGCUUGCUCCUGUGACGCGAGUGGCGGACGGGUGAGUAACACGUAGGCAACCUGCCCAUCAGACUGGGAUAACCACGGGAAACCGUAGCUAAUACCGGAUAAUCCUUUUCCACACAGGUGGGAAAGUUGAAAGGCGGUCUUUUGGCUGUCGCUGAUGGAUGGGCCUGCGGCGCAUUAGCUGGUUGGUGGGGUAACGGCCCACCAAGGCGACGAUGCGUAGCCGACCUGAGAGGGUGAUCGGCCACACUGGGACUGAGACACGGCCCAGACUCCUACGGGAGGCAGCAGUAGGGAAUCUUCCGCAAUGGACGAAAGUCUGACGGAGCAACGCCGCGUGAGUGAAGAAGGGUUUCGGCUCGUAAAACUCUGUUGUCAGGGAAGAACGCCGACGGGAGUAACUGCCCGUCGGGUGACGGUACCUGACCAGAAAGCCACGGCUAACUACGUGCCAGCAGCCGCGGUAAUACGUAGGUGGCAAGCGUUAUCCGGAAUUAUUAGGCGUAAAGCGCGCGUAGGCGGUUCGUUAAGUCUGAUGUGAAAGCCCCAGGCUCAACCGGGGAGGGUCAUUGGAAACUGGCGGACUUGAGUGCAGAAGAGGAGAGUGGAAUUCCAUGUGUAGCGGUGAAAUGCGCAGAGAUAUGGAGGAACACCAGUGGCGAAGGCGGCUCUCUGGUCUGCAACUGACGCUGAGGUGCGAAAGCGUGGGG